rnacentral:rRNA from 1 species
CCUACGGGGUGCAGCAGUGGGGGAUAUUGCACAAUGAGGGAAACCCUGAUGCAGCGACGCCGCGUGUGGGAAGACGGUCUUCUGGAUUGUAAACCACUGUCCCCAGGGACGAAAAUGACGGUACCUGGGGAGGAAGCUCCGGCUAACUACGUGCCAGCAGCCGCGGUAAUACGUAGGGAGCAAGCGUUGUCCGGAAUUACUGGGUGUAAAGGGAGCGUAGGCGGGGAUGCAAGUUGGGUGUCAAAACUACCGGCUCAACCGAUAGUCGCACUCAAAACUGCAGCUCUUGAGUGAAGUAGAGGCAGGCGGAAUGCCUAGUGGAGCGGUGAAAUGCGUAGAUAUUAGGAGGAACACCAGUGGCGAAGGCGGCCUGCUGGGCUUUUACUGACGCUGAGGCUCGAAAGUGUGGGGAGCAAACAGGAUUAGAGACCCUAGUAGUC